AGGCGCGUAGCUCAGUGGGAGAGCGUUACCUUGACGCGGUAGAGGUCGCGGGUUCAAUCCCCGCCGCGCCUA
rnacentral:tRNA from 1 species